AGAAAAUGCAGACAAAUGGAAAUUUGUGGUCUUGAUAUUAGUUCAAGUUUAAGGUUUGGUUCUUUCAUUCUUGUAUUUGGUGCCUGCUUUUCUUGUAGAGGUCACUUUCCACACGGCUUUUUAUUCCUCAUUCCUUCUGUUUAAAGUUCCUUUUUUUGGGAGUAUGGAAAUUUGGUGCAUAUAUAUGAAAAGUAUAUUCAUGAUAUUGAAUAGUCAUUUUUAUUGAGAAAGUAUAGGUUUAUCCCUUAUUAAGGUCCCCCCAAC